UACAGAGGUCCCAAGCGUUGUUCGGAUUCAUUGGGCGUAAAGGGUGCGUAGGCGGCGCGGUAAGUCGGGUGUGAAAUCUCGGAGCUUAACUCCGAAACUGCAUUCGAUACUGCCGUGCUUGAGGACUGGAGAGGAGACUGGGAUUUACGGUGUAGCGGUGAAAUGCGUAGAUAUCGUAAGGAAGACCAGUGGCGAAGGCGGGUCUCUGGACAGUUCCUGACGCUGAGGCACGAAGGCCAGGGGAGCAAACGGG
rnacentral:rRNA from 1 species